rnacentral:lncRNA from 1 species
AGCCCCAUGGGCACCCCAAAGUGCUGCUCCCGAUGCUGAGCCCGGCAGGAGCUGCGCUGGGAGCAAAGAAGAAGAAAUCGGAGGAGAAAGGAUUCUUCUGGCUUUGCAUCAUCGCAGUCUGACCACAUCUAUUUUUGCUGUACGCAUGGCAUCAAGCACCCGUCACCGCUAUUCCUACCCCGUCGCACCGCCGCAUGACACGGCCACGAGAGGGGAAGGGGCUUUGCUCUCGUUAGCCUGGCUGCACACCCAGGGAAUCCGCUCGCCGCCCUUCACCCCACGGCCACCGGCUGAGGACAGCUGGCAGCAGGCACGGCACUGCCCUCCAAGGACACUUGUUCCCUCCCGCCAGGCUGGGGUCAACGUGCCUUAUUUUAGGCUCCGGUCACAGCCGCUUUCGUAGAGAUACGGCCUUGUGGUCGCAGAAGGAAAGAGCUCACCAAAACCGAGGCAACAGUGCCUCAUGGUUCCUUGGGGUGUCCAUGGAGCAACCCCCCCCCCCCCCCCCCCCAGGGCAGCCCAUGGCAUCAGGCUGGGGAUGGGCCCCUCUUGCUGCCGGGCAGCCGGCCUGGGGGCUUUACCAGCAGCCACCAGGGACGUGCUGGGCUCCCAGAGUCCCUCGGCUGGAGGUGUGUGUGGCAGCAGUAUCCAAAGCAGCACACUGACUGGGGGCUUCCUUGGGUGUCCUUCCUUCUUUAUUUUUCCCCCUCUUUCAUUUAUUUCUUUUGUUUUCCACCUCUCUUCAUUUCUUUCAUUUUUCUGUUCGUUUUUCCUUUUUUUUUUUUGCCUUUUUAUCAUUCUUUUUUUCCUUUUAUUUUUUUUGCCCUUACUUCCACUUUUCUUCAAUUUCCCUUUUCUUUACUUUUCCUCAUUAUUUACCUUUUCUCCUUUUCCAUCUUUUUGUUUUCUUUUUUCUUUUCAUUUUCAAUUCAUCUUUUCCGCCCCUUAUCCUUUUUUUCUGUUCCCUUACCUUUUCUUUCCCUUUUCAAUCUUUUUUCCUUCCUUCCUUCCCUUUCCUUUUCCUCUUUUCCUUCUCUUUUCCCCUUUUUCUGUUCCUUUUCCUUUUCUCUUUUUCCUUUUCAACUGAGCUUUUCUUUUUUUCCUUUACUUUUCCAUCCUUUUUUUCUUCUUUUACUUUUUCUUCUCUUUCAUUUUUUUCUUCUUUUCCUUCCUUUUCCUUUUUUCUACCCCUUUCCCUUUUUAAUCUCCCUCUUCUUCCCUUCUUUAGUCUUUACAUUUCCCUUUUCCUUCCUCCAUUCCUUCUUCCGUUCCCUCUCCUCAUUUCUUUCACUUUUUUCCCUUUCGUUUUUUCCUUCCCUUUUUUCUGUCAUUUUCCCUUUAUUUUUCCUUUUUCCAUGUAUCUUUUCCUUUUCCCUUUCUUUUCAUUUUUCUUCCUGUUCUUUUUCUUUUUCAUCUUUUUCUUUCCCUUUCCUCUUCUUUUUUCUUCCUCUUUUUUUCCCUUUCCUUUUCUUCUCCUUUCCCAUUUUUCUGUCCCUCCUGCCUUUUUUCCCCUUUUCAGUUUAUCCUUCUCCUUCUUUUCCCCUCCUCCUUCACUUUUUUUCUUUCACCUUUCCCUUCCUCUUACUUUUUUCCUUUUCCCCUCUUUUCCUUCCCUUUUCCUUUUUGUUGUCCCCUUCAUUUUUUUCCCUUUCCAGUUUCUUUUCCUAUUUUCACCCCUUUUCUUUCCUUCCUUUUUUUUCCCUUUCACCUCUUUCUUCCUCUUUUCCUUCACUUUCUUCCCUUCCCUUUCUCCCCACUCCCACCUCCCCGCUUUCCCUCCAUCUCCCCCCGCCCCCGCUCCCCAUCCCGGCGCUCACCCCCUGCUCGCUCCGUCCCCGCGGCGAGGACAGCACGGCCCAUCCCCGCCGGGGGGGCCGCGGCUCCACGUGCGGCGGUGGGGCGAGGGGCGGUGGGGCAGCGCCGAGGGGCGCCGCGCUGCUGGGGAGGCGGCUCGGGCCGGGCUCGGCUCGGCUCGGCGCGGCUCCGCCCGCUGCCCGGCGGCGGGGCGCUGUUGCAGGGCUGCCGCGGGCUCGGCCGGGCGGGUGGCGCAGCGCCGUGCCGUGCCCGACGCUCAUCUCCGGCCGCCGGGGCGG